rnacentral:rRNA from 1 species
GACAGAGGAUGCAAGCGUUAUCCGGAAUGAUUGGGCGUAAAGCGUCUGUAGGUGGCUUUUCAAGUCCGCCGUCAAAUCCCAGGGCUCAACCCUGGACAGGCGGUGGAAACUACCAAGCUGGAGUACGGUAGGGGCAGAGGGAAUUUCCGGUGGAGCGGUGAAAUGCGUAGAGAUCGGGAGGAACAUCAGUUGCGAAGGCGGCUCUCUGGACCAGCACUGACACUGAGGCACGAAAGCGUGGGGAGCAAACAGG